GCCGGAGUGGUGAAAUUGGUAUACACGUACGCAUGAGGUGCGUAUGCCGUAAGGCGUGCAGGUUCAAGUCCUGUCUCCGGCA
rnacentral:tRNA from 1 species